rnacentral:ncRNA from 1 species
AGUCGGGGAGCCUUAUCGGCUGAGAUCGCCACGCGAGACCCGUUGAACCUGAUUCAGUUAAUACUGACGUAGGGAACUA